rnacentral:rRNA from 1 species
GAUGAACGCUGGCGGCAUGCCUAACACAUGCAAGUCGAUCGGUAAGGCUCUUCGGAUUACACGAGAGGCGGACGGCUGAGUAACGCGUAGGAACACACCCUGUAGUGAGGGAUAAGACACCGAUAGGUGUUCUAAUACCGCAUACGGUCUUCGGAUUAAAGCAUUUAUGCGCUGAAGGAGUGGCCUGCGUCAUAUUAGAUAGUUGGUGAGGUAAUGGCUCACCAAGUCGAUGAAGUGUAGCUGAUCUGAGAGGAUGAUCAGCCAGACUGGAAAUGAGACACGGUCCAGAAUGCUACGGGAGGGAGCAGUGAGGAAUAUAUCACAAUGAGCGAAAGCUUGAUGGAGCAAUGCCGCGUGCAGGAUGAAGGCCCUCGGGUUGUAAACUGCUUUUAUAAGAGAAGAUUAUGACGGUAACUUAUGAAUAAGGGACGGCUAACUACGUG